rnacentral:lncRNA from 1 species
GUGACACACAGUGACACGGCCUCAGAGAUGGAAGAAGCCAGACUUCCUCUCUUCAGCCGCCCCCCGCUCAUCUUUUUAACCACGUCCUUGCAAAGCGGAAGGCAUCUCUCUGCUUGCGAGUCUCCCGUCAUCAAUCCUUUUAGCCGCGCUCCUCUCUCUCUUGCUAUUCAUCCAUCCCUCACUCCACCCCUUCACAUCCAUGGGUGGGGGAAUGGAUCGCGUUCAGCCGGUGAAAAAAAGAGAACAGGCUGCCUCCGGGACCCCCCCCCCCCCCCCCCCCCCCCCCCCCCCGCCACAGGGGUCUGUCAGGCCUUCUGUUUUAAUAAAAAGCUAAAGCCCAGCAAUCACACCCACACUUCAGCCAGCUCGCGGGCAGAACCGGGUCCGCAAUUACCUAUGCCGCCUGGAGUCCCAGUGGCAUUAACCAACCGGAGUCACCACCUUGUUUCCUGCAGAACGGGAGAUUUAUGUCAGAAUGUCGAGGGGAUUCUGCCUCAGUGUGUGUGUGUGUGUGUGUGUGUGUGUGUGUGUGUGUGUGUGUGUGUGUGUGUGUGUGUGUGUGUGUGUGUGUUCCCCCGCGAGUCGUUCAAAAGCCUUUAUUGUCAGUGUCAUGUUUGUGUACUGUACCUCACCAAACAAGGCUCUAACACAGGCAGUAAUAAACUGAGGCGCUGGACUAAAUCCAAUUGUCCGGGAGUGAAUCGAUAUGUGGCAUCGAUGGCUCUGGGGAUGGAGUUGCAGGUCAACAUAAUCUUUGUGUAUUGUCUAGUUUGAAUUGCAGCAUACUGUAUGUUUGUGUGUGUGUUGAAAGCACAUCCUGAUCCCGUGUCUCUGGAUUCUUCCUCAUGACGCCUGCGUAGCUCCUUAACUCGCUGCAUGUCAGCAAACGGCCUCUAGCUGCAGUUUAGCGCCGCAAAAUAUUUCCACUGUGCUGACGCGCGGCACUCGCCGCAAAUUGCUGCCGAGAGUAGCAUCUCACGGCCUCGGAGCUGUCAAAUUCACCGCAGACGACAAUUUCAGCAACAACGCCUAAUUGCGCCUCG